UUUUUCAUCAAACCCAUACGUGUGGGGUAUCUAUGGAUAGGUCUUCAAAAAUGAUGUUUUUAAUAUAAUUUUUUUCUAAACUGAAUAGUUUGCGCGAGAGACACUUCCAAAGUGGUAAAAUGUGUCCCCCCCCCCCCGUAACUUCUAAAAUAACAGAAUGAUAAAACUAAAAAAAAUAUAUGAUGUACAUUACCAUGUAAACUUCCACCGAAAAUUGGUUUGAACGAGAUCUAGUAAGUAGUUUUUUUUUAAUACGUCAUAAA